rnacentral:rRNA from 1 species
CACGUAGUUAGCCGGCGCUUCUUCUGCAGGUACCGUCACUUGCGCUUCUUCCCUGCUGAAAGAGGUUUACAACCCGAAGGCCGUCAUCCCUCACGCGGCGUCGCUGCAUCAGGCUUUCGCCCAUUGUGCAAUAUUCCCCACUGCUGCCUCCCGUAGGAGUCUGGGCCGCGUCUCAGUCCCAGUGUGGCCGGUCGCCCUCUCAGGCCGGCUACCCGUCGACGCCUUGGUAGGCCGUUACCCCGACCAACAAGCUGAUAGGCCGCGAGCCCAUCCCUCACCGAAAAACCUUUCCAACACCCACCAUGCGAUGAGCGCUCAUAUCCGGUAUUAGACCCCGUUUCCAAGGCUUAUCCCGAAGUGAAGGGCAGGUUGCUCACGUGUUACUCACCCGUUCGCCACUGAUCCACCCAGCAAGCUGGGCUUCACCGUUCGACUUGCAUGUGUUAAGCACGCCGCCAGCGUCGUCCGUCGAGCCGACGGAGUCAACUAC